rnacentral:misc_RNA from 1 species
GAAAUGCGAUAAGUAAUGUGAAUUGCAGAAUUCAGUGAAUCAUCGAAUCUUUGAACGCACCUUGCGCUCCUUGGUAUUCCUUGGAGCAUGCCUGUUUGAGUAUCAUGAAAUCUUCAAAGUAAAUCUUUUGUUAACUCAAUUGGUUUCUACUUUGGUAUUGGAGGUCUUUGCAGCUUCACACCUGCUCCUCUUUGUUCAUUAGCUGGAUCUCAGUGUUAUGCUUGGUUACACUCGGCGUGAUAAGUUAUCUAUCGCUGAGGACACUGUAAAAGGUGGCCAAGAUAAAUGCAGAUGAACCGCUUCUAAUAGUCCAUUGACUUGGACAAUACUUUUAUGAUCUGAUCUCAAAUCAGGUAGGACUACCCGCUGAACUUAAGC